rnacentral:rRNA from 1 species
CCUACGGGUGGCAGCAGUGGGGAAUAUUGGGCAAUGGGCGCAAGCCUGACCCAGCAACGCCGCGUGAAGGAAGAAGGCUUUCGGGUUGUAAACUUCUUUUGUCAGGGACGAAGCAAGUGACGGUACCUGACGAAUAAGCCACGGCUAACUACGUGCCAGCAGCCGCGGUAAUACGUAGGUGGCAAGCGUUAUCCGGAUUUACUGGGUGUAAAGGGCGUGUAGGCGGGACUGCAAGUCAGAUGUGAAAACCACGGGCUCAACCUGUGGCCUGCAUUUGAAACUGUAGUUCUUGAGUACUGGGGAGGCAGACGGAAUUCCUGGUGUAGCGGUGAAAUGCGUAGAUAUCAGGAGGAACACCGGCGGCGAAGGCGGCCUGCUGGACCGCGACUGACGUUGAGGCUCGAAAGCGUGGGGAGCGAACAGGAUUAGAUACCCCUGUAGUC